rnacentral:misc_RNA from 1 species
GAUGAAGAACGUAGCGAAUUGCGAUAUGUAAUGUGAAUUGCAGAAUUCAGUGAAUCAUCGAAUCUUUGAACGCACAUUGCGCCCUUUGGUAUUCCUUAGGGCAUGCCUGUUCGAGCGUCAUUUAAACCUUCAAGCUAAGCUUGGUGUUGGGUGACUGUCCGCUUCACGGCGGACUCGCCUCAAAAUUAUUGGCGGCCGGUACAUUGGCUUCGAGCGCAGCAGAAACGCGAACUCGGGCCCGUCGUAUUGGCUCCCAGAAGCUAUCUUCACAAUUUUGACCUCGGAUCAGGUAGGGAUACCCGCUGAACUUAAGCAUAUCAAUAAGCGGAGGA